rnacentral:rRNA from 1 species
UACGUAGGGUGCGAGCGUUGUCCGGAAUUAUUGGGCGUAAAGAGCUUGUAGGCGGUCUGUCGCGUCUGCUGUGAAAAUCCGGGGCUCAACCCCGGACUUGCAGUGGGUACGGGCAGACUAGAGUGUGGUAGGGGAGACUGGAAUUCCUGGUGUAGCGGUGAAAUGCGCAGAUAUCAGGAGGAACACCGGUGGCGAAGGCGGGUCUCUGGGCCGUAACUGACACUGAGACACGAAGGCCAGGGGAGCAAACGGG